UGUGCAGACAAUCAGCAGGUCAUUAGCGUACCGUACAAAUCACCUUGGACUCAGGAUGGAACCCUGGGGACCUGGAGCCGCAAUAGACUGGAGAGAAGACAUGGUGUUGCUGACAGUUACCUCUGAUGGCAGUUAGAAAGCUGUUGCUGCUAUUGUUUAAGUUGUAUUGAGUCCUGGCAACGAGCAGGAUGCUGUGUACAACAGUCAGGAUCCCCACAUCUCUGGCCUGUUGGGAAACUAGAAUUUAGAAGAGUAGAGAACUUGAUUCAAGCCACUGAAGAGCCCGAUCCAAGAUUCCAUGCCAG